UAGUUACUGCGAUGUUGGCCCGGUUCACUCAGAGAAGAUGAAUUCCCUUCUGAAUUUGAUUGAGCCGUGCCAAUAUCUCAGUGCUCUUU
rfam:Prunus persica cultivar Lovell chromosome G1, whole genome shotgun sequence.